UACGUAGGGUGCAAGCGUUGUCCGGAAUUAUUGGGCGUAAAGAGCUCGUAGGCGGUUUGUCGCGUCGGCCGUGAAAACUUGGGGCUUAACCCCAAGCCUGCGGUCGAUACGGGCAGACUUGAGUUCGGCAGGGGAGACUGGAAUUCCUGGUGUAGCGGUGAAAUGCGCAGAUAUCAGGAGGAACACCGGUGGCGAAGGCGGAUCUCUGGGCCAUUACUGACGCUGAGGAGCGAAAGCGUGGGAGCAAACAGG
rnacentral:rRNA from 1 species